AGAUUGAACGCUGGCGGCAUGCCUUACACAUGCAAGUCGAACGGCAGCACGGGAGCAAUCCUGGUGGCGAGUGGCGAACGGGUGAGUAAUACAUCGGAACGUGCCCAAUCGUGGGGGAUAACGCAGCGAAAGCUGUGCUAAUACCGCAUACGAUCUACGGAUGAAAGCAGGGGACCGCAAGGCCUUGCGCGAGUGGAGCGGCCGAUGGCAGAUUAGGUAGUUGGUGAGGUAAAGGCUCACCAAGCCUUCGAUCUGUAGCUGGUCUGAGAGGACGACCAGCCACACUGGGACUGAGACACGGCCCAGACUCCUACGGGAGGCAGCAGUGGGGAAUUUUGGACAAUGGGCGCGAAGCCUGAUCCAGCCAUGCCGCGUGCAGGAUGGAAGGUCCGUUACGGUUGAAACGUGUCC
rnacentral:rRNA from 1 species